rnacentral:rRNA from 1 species
UACGAAGGGUGCAAGCGUUACUCGGAAUUACUGGGCGUAAAGCGUGCGUAGGUGGUUUGUUAAGUCUGAUGUGAAAGCCCUGGGCUCAACCUGGGAAUUGCAUUGGAUACUGGCAGGCUAGAGUGCGGUAGAGGGUAGUGGAAUUCCCGGUGUAGCAGUGAAAUGCGUAGAGAUCGGGAGGAACACCAGUGGCGAAGGCGACUUCCUGGACCAGCACUGACACUGAGGCACGAAAGCGUGGGGAGCAAACAGG